GCGAGUGGUACAAGAGGAGCGGGCUCUUGGAAGGGAAGGAUAAAGACAAGAGGGGAAGAGAGAGAGAUAGUUUGAGAGGAACAGAGAGAGGGCGGGAGAUACAGCACAGCAGCUGUAAAAAGGAGAGAAAAUCCCGGCCCAGCCUCUGCAAGCAUCAUUUCUCACAUCGGAUUUUAUCUGUUCUCGUCGCAACCAAUUUACGCCAAGAUAUGAGUUUCACCCAUUGAAGUUACUUCAUGUUGAACUGACCGUGGUCCAGUGCCCUCCACUGUGCUGCCUCCUCCCAGUUCAGAGCCCUUCCGUCUGUCCGGUGUAAGCAGCCAUGACUAAGUCCUAUGAGUUUAACUGGCAGAAGCACCUGCCGGGCUUCAUGCAGGAAGGAGCCUCAUUCGACAGGUUUGACGAGGUAAGAAACAAACUCAAACUAUCAACAUUUUGGCAAACACUGAGUGCCAACUGCCAACCUGUCCUCCAACCAACUUGACAUUAAUCAUUAUAUUACAUUAUACAAUGGGUGAGUCUAAUCCUGGAUGCUGAUUGGUUAAAACCGCAUUCCUGCCGGUGUCUAUUCCACAAGUUUACUACCGGCUAAAGCUAUGAUGUUGAAAUGCCUAUUCACUCCGUUCCAUCUGACUGCUCAAUCCACUGGCUCAUCAGCCCAGCCAGACAGUUUAUCAACUUGAUCUCCACUAUAAAAAACAUCGAGACAUUCUCUCCCAUUUCUUUUAGACUAACAUGAUCUCCCAUUUCUUUUAGACUAGCAUUAUCUCCCAUUUCUUUUAGACUAGACUAGCAUUUGGUUUCAACAGCGGAGAUUUUUAUAAACCUUGCUGUCUGCAUCUCCGACAAAAUGAAACAAAUCUC